rnacentral:rRNA from 1 species
CCUACGGGUUGCACCAGUGGGGAAUAUUGCACAAUGGGCGCAAGCCUGAUGCAGCCAUGCCGCGUGUAUGAAGAAGGCCUUCGGGUUGUAAAGUACUUUCAGCGAGGAGGAAGGCAUUAAGGUUAAUAGCCUUAGUGAUUGACGUUACUCGCAGAAGAAGCACCGGCUAACUCCGUGCCAGCAGCCGCGGUAAUACGGAGGGUGCAAGCGUUAAUCGGAAUUACUGGGCGUAAAGCGCACGCAGGCGGUUUGUUAAGUCAGAUGUGAAAUCCCCGGGCUCAACCUGGGAACUGCAUCUGAUACUGGCAAGCUUGAGUCUCGUAGAGGGGGGUAGAAUUCCAGGUGUAGCGGUGAAAUGCGUAGAGAUCUGGAGGAAUACCGGUGGCGAAGGCGGCCCCCUGGACGAAGACUGACGCUCAGGUGCGAAAGCGUGGGGAGCAAACAGGAUUAGAUACCCCGGUAGUC